AAGAAACCACCACAGCCCCAGAGUGACUGUUGACAAGGGCUGCUAUCCCCCAAGGACACUGUGAUGCCAUGCCUGGCCACCACCUGAGGAAGUGGUGAGUAAACCCUGUUACAAUGCUUUUUCUUAAAUUACUUUAACUACAGCAUGUCUGAAACAACUAUAUUUUUGUAGUUUUCCUUAUCCACUCUCUCUUGUCCUACACCUCAUGGCAAGCACUGUAUCUCAGCCCGAGUCUACGUCCAGCUCCUACUUCCUUCAAAGGCAGUCUCACUGAUGAUAGCAGCUUUGGCAAACAGUAAAUGACUGACUGUCCUUGGCCACUUUUAUAUUGCGUGAGUACAUGUGCUGCCAGACCUCUAUCUGCAAAAGGGAUUCUUUCAGCAGCAAAUUAACAUGAAGUGAUUUACUUUGUCCAUAUUGGAUACAAGGUUGAGCGAGGGGGGGAGGAAGGGAGAGGGAUCACUACAGGUUGCACUUGCUUUUGAAAUCUUUACUUCCAUAUUCCAUAGGUCCUUUGGAGAAAAUUUCAUACAAAAUGAAAUCAAAGAUUGCCUACUUGAAACUUCUUCUUUUUUGGAUGGGAUAAGUAUUGCUGGGUCAGCCAUCCACACUAAAGACUGUGCCCUGGCUGGAGGGGUGAGUUAUCUAAAAGAAACCACCACAGCCCCAGAGUGA
rnacentral:lncRNA from 1 species